rnacentral:lncRNA from 1 species
UAAUGAUUCACACAGUGGUUUAGAUGGUAUAAUGAUUCUCUGUGGUUUAGAUGGUAUAAUGAUUCUCUGUGGUUUAGAUGGUAUAAUGAUUCUCUGUGGUUUAGAUGGUAUAAUGAUUCACAGUGGUUUAGAUGGUUUAAUGAUUCACAGUGGUUUAGAUGGUUUAAUGAUUCACACAGUGGUUUAGAUGGUAAAUUGAUUCACACAGUGGUUUAGAUGGUAUAAUGAUUCUCUGUGGUUUAGAUGGUAUAAUGAUUCUCUGUGGUUUAGAUGGUAUAAUGAUUCACUCAGUGGUUUAGAUGUUAUAAUGAUUCACACAGUGGUUUAGAUGGUAUAAUGAUUCACACAGUGGUUUAGAUGGUAUAAUGAUUCUCAGUGGUUUAGAUGGUAUAAUGAUUAUCUGUGGUUUAGAUGGUAUAAUGAUUCACACAGUGGUUUAGAUGGUAUAAUGAUUGACAGUGGUUUAGAUGGUUUAAUGAUUCACAGUGGUUUAGAUGGUUUAAUGAUUCACACAGUGGUUUAGAUGGUAUAAUGAUUCACACAGUGGUUUAGAUGGUAUAAUGAUUCACACAGUGGUUUAGAUGGUAUAAUGAUUCACACAGUGGUUUAGAUGGUAUAAUGAUUCAUACAGUGGUUUAGAUGGUAUAAUGAUUCACACAGUGGUUUAGAUGGUAUAAUGAUUCACACAGUGGUUUAGAUGGUAUAAUGAUUCACAGUGUGGUUUAGAUGGUUUAAUGAUUCACAGUGGUUUAGAUGGUUUAAUGAUUCACAGUGGUUUAGAUGGUUUAAUGAUUCACACAGUGGUUUAGAUGGUAAAUUGAUUCACACAGUGGUUUAGAU